AGGUCUGCUGCCUGUGUGUGUGUGUACGGUCCUGCUGUGUCUCAUCACUCCUGGAGUCUAAAGGAGCUCUGUUGCUCCACCCACUGGCGACAGCUGCAAACUACACCGCUCCUCCGGAGGGUUCCCGAGGCGUUUCCAGGCCAGAUGGGAUACGUGACCUCGCCGGUGUGUUCUGGCUGCGCCCCCUGGUCUCCUCACAGAAAUCCCCUGUUUAGGACGCCUCCCUGAACCACCUCAGCUCUUCAACGUGAAGGAGUAUUGGUUCCUCUCCACCUUCUCCAUACUGCCAGGCAUACAAUUUCAGCUGAGGGGGCAGCGAUGGGAUGAGGAAGAUCAGGAAGUAAGAGCAGGGCCGGGGCCAGUCAGAAGGCUGGAAAUUCCCCAAAACGAGCCAAUCAGAAGGCUGGCAGCUCGUGAAACGAGCCAAUCUGAGAGGUUAAGGCGAUGGAAGCUGUCAUCAGUUUCCAGUGUGCACGACACCUGAAAAAAAACCUCACAACCUUAAAAGGCACCUCAGCCGCUACUUUGGGCCAAUAGGAGGACAGAACACCAGGAGGAAGUGAGGUUGGUGCAGAGGAAGGGGAUGAGAAGAAGAACAAGAAGAAGAACAAGUAGAAGAAGAAGAAGAAGAGGGCCUGGUUUGUGUGUAACAGAAAAAAAACCCACAACAUUUCAGAGAAGCCGCACAGCUUCAAGCGCUGCAUGUGGUUAUUAGAUUUGACUAUUACAGAGAAGCUCCCUUUGUUUGAAAACUAGGUUAUACACUUCAAGCUCUUGAUCAGAUUUAUCUGUAGUAAUCACACAAUUUUUUUUUUAUUAGCGGAAAACGUUAGCCAGCGCUAGCACAUCAUCUUUGCUUUAGAGCUACAUGCCAGCAGCUGGAGACCAACACGACCUGUGACACACAUUUUAAAAGAGGAAGUGCCUGUAAGUUAACUAAAACAACAAUACGUGCUUUGUUACUUGAACUACUUGUUGCACUGCUGUGGAUGUACUAGUCGUUUGGGGGUGAAACACAAUAAAAGCGUUGUGAAUGAGAA